rnacentral:miRNA from 1 species
AAUGAGAGUAGAGAUGAGAUUGAGAGGAGAGGAUGAGAGGGAGAAAUAACAAAAGUGAAAACACAAACUAAGAAUUGAAAUAUAUUUCAAAUUGUUUUCAAUUUCAAGAUUGUGGUUUCACUUUUGUUACUCAUCUCUCUCAAUCUCAUCCUCAUUCCCUUUCU